UACGUAGGGUGCAAGCGUUGUCCGGAAUUAUUGGGCGUAAAGAGCUCGUAGGCGGUUUGUCGCGUCUGCUGUGAAAACUCGGGGCUUAACUCCGGGCCUGCAGUGGGUACGGGCAGACUAGAGUGCGGUAGGGGAGACUGGAAUUCCUGGUGUAGCGGUGAAAUGCGCAGAUAUCAGGAGGAACACCGGUGGCGAAGGCGGGUCUCUGGUACGUGACUGACGCUGAGACGCGAAAGCGUGGGGAGCGAACAGG
rnacentral:rRNA from 1 species